ACUUCUUCUAUUGCAUAAUGGCACAAAAAGUCAUCCAGAAGUCCAUGUGAAACAGGAAGGUUAGAUCCCAAUAAAUUCCAGAAAUUCCUUUUUAAAUAUCUACAGAGGGGACAGCUAGGUGGCUCUUUGGAUUGAAAGCCAGACUAGAAACAAGAGGUCCUGGGUUCAAAUUUGGCCUCAGAUGCUGCCGAGCUGUAUGACUCUGAGAAAGUCACUUAACCCCCAUUGCCUACCCCUUGCCACUCUUCUGCCUUGGAACCAAUACACAACGUUGGUUCUAAAAUGGAAGGUAAAGGUUAUUUUAAAAAACAAACAAACCACAGAUUAUUUUAAAGGAAUAAUGGUGAAACAUACUACGCCCUUCUUCUCCAGAAGUGAUGAACUCAGAGUACAGAUUGAAACACAUUUUUUUAGACAUGACUACAUUUGGAAAUCUGUAGAAAUUUGUUUUACUUGACUGCCUAUUUGUUACUAAGGUUUUUGUUUUUCUUUUUCUUAUGGAAGGGAGAGGGGGCACGAGAGGGAAAACUGAUUUUUGUUAAAUGAAAGGUUCAAGAGAAGAGGGCUCAGAACUGAAUUGAGCUUACCAAGGGGGCAAGACUGGGAAGGGAAGAGAGUGCAGCUAUUGCAGGAGAAGAGCUGAGGUUGAACUAAGGAAGAACUAAGAGGUUGAGGGAUUAGAGAACAUGAGAUGAACAAAGAACAGGCUUUGAUGCAGCAAAGCAGGGGGGAGAGGUGGAAUGACAAUUGACUGUGACCACUACACUAGAGAGGGGAAUUGGUAAGAUAUAAUUGGGCAAAUCAGAAGAUAUCACACCAGGAAGUAGUUGAAUGAAAGAAGCUAAAUCCCAAGCUCCCCCCCCCCCCACUUCCUGUUCUUUCUCACCAAGUAACCUAAUGGAGGUUUUUUUCACAUAUGGGAAAAGCUCAAAUAACCUGAGAAUGAUUGUUUCAAGCCUGCCAAAGUCAAGACUGGAAUGUUUACAGAAGAAAUAGCUUUCUCCCACUUCUAAUAAAGGAGAGAUUGGAAUCCAACCAACUCAGGGUGUCCUCAUGCCAUCUAGAAAGAACUAGCUACUUCCGGAACAUAAUUGUAUACAGGAAACACAACUCUGAAAUCAACAAGGAGAUGUCACGCCUUACAGCUGGCUUGUCCUAGUUAGGACGCUGAAGUGGUGACCACAAAUUCAGAAAAGCACAAAUAAAAGCUUCGGCCAUCCAGGAAUCAAUCCAGGACUGCGGAGACGGUCGAGUUUUGUGGCAACAAGAUUCACUUCAAAAACCGACCCACAAGCCAACAACAAGACCAAGAUAUCACUUCAGGACCAAGGCCAAGGCCCGGCCUGAUCUGGUGUAUGUACAAUGGGAUACACUUUCCUCUGCUUUGUUUCAUUCCAGAGCGGAUACAUUGGUUUGCUCUCCACCAGUCUUUCCUCUGGUUUUUUGGGAGAAGAAUUCCUUGUCGUUUAGUGCUAGAUACAAGACCAGAUCAGAAACUCAACUAAGAAUUUACAAAAGAAGUCUGGAAGACACUCAAGUCAACACAAACUACAGACAGUCAACAAAUACUCCAGACACACGUCUAGCGCUGAAGAUCUCUCCAUAAGGAGCACACAAGGACUGUGGUUUUUACAAUCUCUUCCAGGUGCCCCUCUUUAGGAGCUUGGAAAGGUCUCUGAGACAGGGAUCUAUGGGCGUUGGGUUAUCCAGUCCAUUCUGGGUCCUCAUCAUUUUCACAGGAAUUUUCUUCCCCAUUCAAUUAGCUAAAGUCAGUAAUAGCUGGAAGGAAUCAGGAGACAGCAUUUGAUGGAGAAUGUGUCAUUCACCACUCAGCAAAAAAAAAAUUAUAAAUGGUAUGAAACAAAGAAAAAAAAGAUGGAUAUUCAGUUAAAAAGAUGGCUAUGGCAGGUGGCCGUAUAAGAAAACUAGUCGACUUGCUAAAGGAAAUUGUAUCCCACUUGCUACAGAAAACAGAUAAAGAGUAAUUUUCUUGGUUCAUUUUUUUAAACCCUUACCUUCCAUCUUGGAAUGGAUACUGCUUCCUUACUGAAGACAACUCUGCAUUUUCUUCUCCAUGUUCUUGGGGCAAACGCAUUCUUUCUAACUUUCCCAGCGUCCUUCACUCCCUCCCCUCCCAGCGUCCUUCACUCCCUCCCCUCCCUUCCUCCUCCAUUAACAGGGCCACGUACCAGCUAUUCAGCCAAGCGUGCCAAGCUCCCAGAGGCUUUCCCCAUUCUCCUGGGCCUGCUACCUCUCCUCUUUUGUCUUUGUCAUUCCUGGGUCAAGCAGAGUGGAGCAGAGGCACUGAAAGACACUGAAUGCAUCAGGCCCAACUGGAGCUAUUUCUUCCCAAGCCUUUUGUGCUGAGCCCACAGUGCUCCUCCCUCCCCACUUCGAGGCCCGGCUCACAUCUGAGCUUUUAAACAAUUCAAAGUGAAUAAAUAUGCAAGUAAAGUAUUGAACAU